rnacentral:rRNA from 2 species
AACGCUGGCGGCGCGCCUAACACAUGCAAGUCGAACGAUUAAAGCACCUUCGGGUGUGUAUAAAGUGGCGAACGGCUGAGUAACACGUGGGCAACCUGCCCCUUUCAUUGGGAUAGCCACGGGAAACCGUGGAUAAUACCGAAUACUUCGAGACUUCCGCAUGGAAGACUCGAGAAAGCUCCGGCGGAGAGGGAUGGGCCCGCGGCCUGUUAGCUUGUUGGUGGGGUAACGGCCUACCAAGGCAAUGAUGGGUAGCUGGGUUGAGAGACCGACCAGCCAGAUUGGGACUGAGACACGGCCCAGACUCCUACGGGAGGCAGCAGUGGGGAAUCUUGCACAAUGGGCGAAAGCCUGAUGCAGCGACGCCGCGUGCGGGAUGAAGGCCUUCGGGUUGUAAACCGCUUUCAGC